UAGCACAGAGAGCUUGCUCUCGGGUGACGAGCGGCGGACGGGUGAGUAAUGUCUGGGAAACUGCCUGAUGGAGGGGGAUAACUACUGGAAACGGUAGCUAAUACCGCAUAACGUCGCAAGACCAAAGUGGGGGACCUUCGGGCCUCAUGCCAUCAGAUGUGCCCAGAUGGGAUUAGCUAGUAGGUGGGGUAACGGCUCACCUAGGCGACGAUCCCUAGCUGGUCUGAGAGGAUGACCAGCCACACUGGAACUGAGACACGGUCCAGACUCCUACGGGAGGCAGCAGUGGGGAAUAUUGCACAAUGGGCGCAAGCCUGAUGCAGCCAUGCCGCGUGUGUGAAGAAGGCCUUCGGGUUGUAAAGCACUUUCAGCGGGGAGGAAGGCGGUGAGGUUAAUAACCUUGUCGAUUGACGUUACCCGCAGAAGAAGCACCGGCUAACUCCGUGCCAGCAGCCGCGGUAAUACGGAGGGUGCAAGCGUUAAUCGGAAUUACUGGGCGUAAAGCGCACGCAGGCGGUCUGUCAAGUCGGAUGUGAAAUCCCCGGGCUCAACCUGGGAACUGCAUUCGAAACUGGCAGGCUAGAGUCUUGUAGAGGGGGGUAGAAUUCCAGGUGUAGCGGUGAAAUGCGUAGAGAUCU
rnacentral:rRNA from 1 species